UAUGUGAUCGUCUCUCGCAUAUCAAUAAGCGGAGGAAAAGAAACUAACAAGGAUUCCCCUAGUAACGGCGAGUGAAGCGGGAAGAGCUCAAAUUUGAAAUCUUAAAGGGUUUCCCUUUACGAAUUGUAGUUUAAAGAAGUGUUUUCUGUUGAGGUUUUGGUAAAAGUUCUUUGGAAUAGGACAUCAUAGAGGGUGAGAAUCCCGUAUUUGACCUUUACUUUCAACUUUGUGAUACACUUUCAAAGAGUCGGAUUGUUUGGGAAUGCAGUCCAAAAUGGGUGGUAAAUUUCAUCUAAAGCUAAAUAUUGGCGAGAGACCGAUAGCGAACAAGUACCGUGAGGGAAAGAUGAAAAGAACUUUGAAAAGAGAGUUAAACAGUACGUGAAAUUGUCAAAAGGGAAGCGUUUGACACCAGUGUUGUUUUUCUGAAAAUCAAUUAAAGAACUGUUUAUGCUAAGUUGUUUAGACUUUAUCAGCUAAUCUGCUUAGUUUUGAGCUUUUCUUUAAUGCACUUUUCAGUUAACAAGUCAACAUCAAUUUCUUUUGCUGUAAAAAAGCUUGAGGAAGGUGGCUUGAGAUUCGUCUUAAGUGUUUAUAGCCUCUUGCCUAUGCAGUCGGAGAGAUUGAGGUCUGCAGCGUAGAUCCUUCGGGGCUAAAUGCAUUUGUGCUAAGUUAUAGCAUUUUAUAGACAACUUGUUCGACUAUGAUUUGUCUUGUAGCUUACUCGCUUAUGUUAUUUUACCUACGCUUAGGAUGUUGAACGCGCACAGAGUCUC
rnacentral:rRNA from 1 species